AAAGGAAAGAUUUAUUUUAUUUAUUUUAAAGAAAAUAUUUUUUAUUUUUAGUAUUAAUUUAGAAUAGAAUUAGUUAAUGAUAAUUAAUUUGUAUAGUGGUAGAUUAUUGAGAGAUUAAGUUUAUUUUUGAAAAAGAAGAAUUAAGGUUCGUACCUUGUGUCUCAGGGUUUAUUAAAAAUUUGGUUUGAAUAUACUAUUCUCGAAUUAAAAAGGGCUAUUAGUUUAUAUAUAUAGUUGUUAUAUAAAUUUUUAUAAUAAAUUAAUUGUAAUGAAACGUUAUUCGUUUUUUAAGAUAUCUAGUUUUUUAAGAAAUAAAUUUAAUUUAUUUUAUUAAAUGUAAAGUUUUAAUUAAGAAGAUUUUUAUUUUAAUAAUUAAAAGUUAAGAGGGAUAAGCUUUUUAACUAAUUUUUAAAAGUAAUAUAAAUAUUAAAUAUAAAUAGAAUUAGAAGUGUUUAUUUUCAUAUGUUAUAAUUAUUAUUUUAAUUUUUAUAUAAUUUAUAUAAGUUUUAAUUUUUUUAUUAAAAUUAUAAUUUUAAUUUAAUAUUUUAUGAAAUUAUGAUAGAAUUAGUAUAAAAUUAACUUUAAUGUUAAAAUUGAUAAUUAAUGUUAGGUUAAGGAAUUCGGCAAAUAAAUUUUUCGCCUGUUUAAUAAAAACAUGUCUUUUUGAUUAUAAUUUAAAGUCUAAUCUGCCCUAUGAGGAUUUAAAUGGCCGCGGUAUUUUGACCGUGCAAAGGUAGCAUAAUAAUUAGUUUUUUAAUUGAAAGCUGGAAUGAAUGAUUGAACGAGAAAAUAGCUGUCUCAAUUUAAUUUUAUUAGAAUUUUAUUUUUAAGUAAAAAAGCUUAGAUAGAUUUAAAAGACGAGAAGACCCUAUAGAGUUUAAUAAUUAGUUAGUUAUUAAUUUUUUAGUAUUAUUUYAUUAUUAAUAAAUUAAUUAUUUUAUUGGGGUGAUAGAAAAAUAUAUUUAACUUUUUUUUUAUUGUUACAUUAAUUUAUGAUUUUUUGAUCCAUUAUUUAUGAUUAUAAGAUUAAGUUACCUUAGGGAUAACAGCGUAAUUUUUUUUUAGAGUUCUUAUCGAAAAGAAAGAUUGCGACCUCGAUGUUGGAUUAAAAUUAAUAUAGGGCGUAGAAGCUUUAUUAUUAGGUCUGUUCGACCUUUAAAAUUUUACAUGAUCUGAGUUUAAACCGGCGUGAGCCAGGUUGGUUUCUAUCUUUAAUUAAUUAAAAUAUUUUAGUACGAAAGGACCAGGUAUUUAUAAUAAUUAUUUAUUUUUGAAUUAUAUUAG
rnacentral:rRNA from 1 species